GUAGGGAAACGUGGGUCUAAUACCGGAUAGGAGCCAUUUUUAGUGUGAUGGUUGGAAAGUUUUUUCGGUGUAGGAUGAGCUCGCGGCCUAUCAGCUUGUUGGUGGGGUAAUGGCCUACCAAGGCGGCGACGGGUAGCCGGCCUGAGAGGGUGGACGGCCACAUUGGGACUGAGAUACGGCCCAG
rnacentral:rRNA from 1 species